rnacentral:rRNA from 1 species
UACAGGGGGUGGCAAGCGUUAAUCGGAAUUACUGGGCGUAAAGCGUGCGUAGACGGUUAUGUAAGUCGGGUGUGAAAGCCCCGGGCUCAACCUGGGAAUGCCAUUCGAGACUGCAUAGCUAGGGUGCGGAAGAGGGAAGCGGAAUUUCCGGUGUAGCGGUGAAAUGCGUAGAUAUCGGGAGGAACACCAGUGGCGAAGGCGACUACCUGGCCUGUAACUGACGCUGAGACGCGAAAGCGUGGGGAGCAAACCGG